UGCUUGUCGUGGUACCUGCGCACGGAAAAGACCAACCAGACCGAGAUCGGCCCCGUCAGAAACGCUAAAACCGGCGCCGGAGCCGUGUCAUCCUCCCCCUCCCACUCGGAGCAGAAGCGGAAGGAGCCGUGAUUUUCAGGGAUAUUUCCGGGCUCCUUCCGCUCUUCCGUCUUUGGGACAAGCACAAUCAUAACCAAAGAAACCCGGGCGACGGCCAAAUCUCAGCCAAUCCGCUCCUGGUUUUGCUCCGAACUUUUCCAGCGGAAGGAUCUAUCCAAUGGAGAGGACCUUGGAUAGAUUUAAAGGGCCGGUACAAACUGAUGUGCCUUUUUUGGGGGGGGCGGGGAAGCCGAGGUGUUGUAGUCCAUCGCAACAUGGGAGGCAUGCGUUGCGGUUUCGGAUCAUGCGCAAGGAAGGAGAGGAAGAGUGACAAGGCCAGGCGAGGUCAAGCAAGGACGUCAACACAGCUUUGGCGCCCUUCCGCAGCGAAUCCGGACCCGGACCCGGACCCGGACCCAGAUGGAGCAUGCCCACCCACCACUGCACAGGACUCACAGUUUGUCCCUACGAGAAGCAGAGCAGGUACGAGAGGAGGAGGAGGAGGAGGAGACAAACAACAGCACGGUUACGGAGGUAGGACUGAGAGAGUGUUGAGACAGUUAGAUAGACAAAUAAUAGAUAGGACAGAGAUACAAGAUAGGACGGAGAUAGUGAGAUGGAGAAAAAAUAGGACUGAGAUACAAGAGAGGACGGAGAUAGGUAGAAAAAUAAUAGGACUGGGAUAAAAGAUAGGACGGAGAUAGACAAAUAAUAGAUAGGACGGAGGUAUGUAGAAAAAUAAUAGAUAGGACUGAGAUACAAGAUAGGAUGGAGAUAGAUGGAGAAAAAAUAGAUAGGACUGAGAUACGAGAUAGGACAGAGAGACAAAUAAUAGAUAGGACUGAGAUACAAGAUAGGACGGAGAUAGUGAGAUAGAGAAAUAAUAGAUAGGACUGAGAUACGAGAUAGGACGGAAAUAGUGAGAUGGAGAAAAAAUAGGACUGAGAUACAAGAGAGGACGGAGAUAGGUAGAAAAAUAAUAGGACUGGGAUAAAAGAUAGGACGGAGAUAGACAAAUAAUAGAUAGGACGGAGGUAUGUAGAAAAAUAAUAGAUAGGACUGAGAUACAAGAUAGGACGGAGAUAGUGAGAUAGAGAAAUAAUAGAUAGGACAGAGAUACAAGAUAGGACGGAGAUAGUGAGAUGGAGAAAAAAUAGGACUGAGAUACAAGAGAGGACGGAGAUAGGUAGAAAAAUAAUAGGACUGGGAUAAAAGAUAGGACGGAGAUAGACAAAUAAUAGAUAGGACGGAGGUAUGUAGAAAAAUAAUAGAUAGGACUGAGAUACAAGAUAGGACGGAGAUAGUGAGAUAGAGAAAUAAUAGAUAGGACAGAGAUACAAGAUAGGACGGAGAUAGUGAGAUGGAGAAAAAAUAGGACUGAGAUACAAGAGAGGACGGAGAUAGGUAGAAAAAUAAUAGGACUGGGAUAAAAGAUAGGACGGAGAUAGACAAAUAAUAGAUAGGACGGAGGUAUGUAGAAAAAUAAUAGAUAGGACUGAGAUACAAGAUAGGACGGAGAUAGUGAGAUAGAGAAAUAAUAGAUAGGACAGAGAUACAAGAUAGGACGGAGAUAGUGAGAUGGAGAAAAAAUAGGACUGAGAUACAAGAGAGGACGGAGAUAGGUAGAAAAAUAAUAGGACUGGGAUAAAAGAUAGGACGGAGAUAGACAAAUAAUAGAUAGGACGGAGGUAUGUAGAAAAAUAAUAGAUAGGACUGAGAUACAAGAUAGGAUGGAGAUAGAUGGAGAAAAAAUAGAUAGGACUGAGAUACGAGAUAGGACAGAGAGACAAAUAAUAGAUAGGACUGAGAUACAAGAUAGGACGGAGAUAGUGAGAUGGAGAAAUGAUAGAUAGGAUACAAGACAGGACAGAGAUAGAGAAAAAAAUCGAUAGGACUGAGAUACAAGAUAGGACGGAGAUAGUGAGAUGGAGAAAUGAUAGAUAGGACUGAGAUACAAGACAGGACAGAGAUAGAGAAAAAAAUCGAUAGGACUGAGAUACAAGAUAGGACGGAGAUAGUGAGAUGGAGAAAUGAUAGAUAGGACUGAGAUACAAGACAGGACAGAGAUAGAGAAAAAAAUCGAUAGGACUGAGAUACAAGAUAGGACGGAGAUAGUGAGAUAGAGAAAUAAUAGAUAGGACUGAGAUACAAGAUAGGAUGGAGAUAGAUGGAGAAAAAAUAGAUAGGACUGAGAUAUGAGAUAGGACAGAGAGACAAAUAAUAGAUAGGACGGAGAUACAAGAUAGGACGGAGAUAGUGAGAUAGAGAAAUAAUAGAUAGGACUGAGAUACAAGAUAGGAUGGAGAUAGUGAGAUAGAGAAAUGAUAGAUAGGACUGAGAUACAAGAUAGGACGGAGAUAGUGAGAUAGAGAAAUGAUAGAUAGGACUGAGAUACAAGAUAGGAUGGAGAUAGUGAGAUAGAGAAAUGAUAGAUAGGACUGAGAUACAAGACAGGACAGAGAUAGAGAAAAAAAUCGAUAGGACUGAGAUACAAGAUAGGACGGAGAUAGUGAGAUAGAGAAAUAAUAGAUAGGACUGAGAUACAAGAUAGGAUGGAGAUAGUGAGAUAGAGAAAUAAUAGAUAGGACUGAGAUACUAGAUAGGACUGAGAUGCAAGAUAGGACGGAGAUAGACAGAGAAAUAAUAUAUAGAACUGAGAUACAAGAUAGGAUGGAGAUAGACAAAUAAUAGAUAGGACU